AUUGAACGCUGGCGGCAUGCCUAACACAUGCAAGUCGAACGAGUGGCGGACGGGUGAGUAAUAUCUGGGAACGUACCGAGUAAUGGGGGAUAACCAAUGGAAACGGUGGCUAAUACCGCAUAUAAUCCGAGCGGCCCAUAUGUGAUUAGCUAGUGGGUGGGGUAACGGCUUACCUAGGCGACGAUCACUAGCUGGUCUGAGAGGAUGACCAGCCACACUGGGACUGAGACACGGCCCAGACUCCUACGGGAGGCAGCAGUGGGGAAUAUUGGACAAUGGGCGCAAGCCUGAUGCAGCCAUGCCGCGUGUCUGAAGAAGGCCUUCGGGUUGUAAAGGACUUUCAUUGGGGAGGCGUUACCUAAAGAAGAAGCACCGGCUAACUACGUGCCAGCAGCCGCGGUAAUUC
rnacentral:rRNA from 1 species